rnacentral:rRNA from 1 species
AUUGAACGCCGGCGGCAUGCCUUACACAUGCAAGUCGAACGGUAACGCGGGGCAACCUGGCGACGAGUGGCGAACGGGUGAGUAAUGCAUCGGAACGUGCCCAGUAGUGGGGGAUAGCCCGGCGAAAGCCGGAUUAAUACCGCAUACGACCUUCGGGUGAAAGGGGGGGAUCGCAAGACCUCUCGCUAUUGGAGCGGCCGAUGUCAGAUUAGGUAGUUGGUGGGGUAAAAGCCUACCAAGCCGACGAUCUGUAGCUGGUCUGAGAGGACGACCAGCCACACUGGGACUGAGACACGGCCCAGACUCCUACGGGAGGCAGCAGUGGGGAAUUUUGGACAAUGGGCGCAAGCCUGAUCCAGCCAUGCCGCGUGCGGGAAGAAGGCCUUCGGGUUGUAAACCGCUUUUGUCAGGGAAGAAACGCUUCGAGCUAAUACCUCGGAGUAAUGACGGUACCUGAAGAAUAAGCACCGGCUAACUACGUGCCAGCAGCCGCCGUAA